GCCUCAUUAAAUUAUCUGAGGUAAUACCUGCUCAAUGCGAAAGUAAAUAGCCGCAGUAUUUUGACUGUGCAAAGGUAGCAUAAUAAUUUGGCCUUUAAUUGGGGUCUGGAAUGAAUGGUUUGACAAGGAUUUAACUGUCUCAAAAUUAGGGGAAUUGAAUUUGAAUUGUGUGUAAAAAUGCGUACAUGAGUGAGAGGGACGAGAAGACCCUAUAGAUCUUUAAAGAAAUAAUUAAUAAUAAUUAUUAAUUAUUUCUUUUUAUUUGGGGAAAAUCCUGAAAUUUCAAAAAAAUUUCGGUUAAAAAUUUAAAAAUAAAAUUAUUGAUUUUCGAUCCACUAAAUUGGAGUGAAAAAAUGAAAAAGUUACCUUAGGGAUAACAGGACAAUGAUUUUUCAGAAGGUCAUAUUUUGAAAAACGUUUGUUACCUCGAUGUUGAAUUAAGUUAUCUAAUUAAAGGAGAAAUUUUUAAAGUUGGUCUGUUCGACCAUUAAAAAC
rnacentral:rRNA from 1 species